rnacentral:lncRNA from 1 species
GAAUCUCAAGAGUAUGUGGCCUGUUUUCUGGUUACUCCACACCAUACAAAUGAAAGGCAGAACUUGGAACAGCCAUGUCUAACCUGACCCUAUGUCUCUGUUCUCUUUGUACCUGUGCAGGUAGAGGAAGGAUGGUGGGAAGGUGUUCUCAAUGGGAAAACUGGAAUGUUUCCAUCCAACUUCAUCAAGGAGCUGUCGGGGGAGUCAGAUGAGCUUGGCAUUUCCCAGGAUGAACAGCUGUCUAAGUCAAGGCCUGAAGGUCUCCCUCCAGUUUCUCUGCUGCCUUUCCCAGCUCAUGGAGCAAAAGGAAAGACUACCUUUGAAGGGCCAAUUCUGUACCGAGCUGCACCGGGAAAGACGGAGGGCCACAGACGCUAUUACACUUCUUCCUGCACUGAGGCUUCAGAUAUGAAUGACUGCAGCACUUUAUGAUAUUUUAUGUGAGCAAUUAUUUGGUGUAUCAUUCUUAUGGACUAGGAGGUCACCUGACCUGUAGGAAGAUAAUGCAUGAUUGGCUAAUAGAGAACAAAAUUUGAUUACAUACUUUCAUCCCAAGAGCAUUGUUAUGAUCAGGAGAUAUGUAGUAAAUGGUUAGGAACUGUCCUAUACAUCUAGAGGCUUUGAGAG